AAUGAGGAGAAAGCGUUGUGGUUC
rnacentral:siRNA from 1 species